rnacentral:tRNA from 1 species
GCCGAAGUGGCGGAAUGGUAGACGCGAAGGUCUCAAAAACCUUUGGGCUUUAGCCCGUGUGGGUUCGACUCCCACCUUCGGCACCA